rnacentral:rRNA from 1 species
ACGCUCGACACCUACGGAGGCAGCAGUGGGGAAUAUUGCACAAUGGGGGAAACCCUGAUGCAGCGACGCCGCGUGAGUGAAGAAGUAUUUCGGUAUGUAAAGCUCUAUCAGCAGGGAAGAAGAUGACGGUACCUGAGUAAGAAGCCCCGGCUAACUACGUGCCAACAGCCGCGGUAAUCUGAGCGGCUGGCAAGGC